GAGACGGCGGAAGCCGAAAAGCGGGGCUGACUGCACAUGCGCAGGAAACGCAGGCCAUCCGUUCCCAGAAUGCUGCGCGAGAACCCGUAAAGUUCGAGACUACGUAUCCCGUAAAACACCGCGAUCGCUCACAUAAUGCCAUCCAACCCAGAACAAAUUCAACUGCCUUGGAACCUCUGCAAAAUGAACUAACCAAAGCUCAAGUCGUAUAAUUCCUUUCUAACACCAUUUUAAUAAAACAUUUUUUGGUUCCCAUAUGGUGUUCACUCUUUCUCAUUGCAAUGACUAUUAAAAUACAAAUUGUUCUACUA